UCUGGUCCCCCGACCUAGGCCUCACCUGGUCCUGGUGACUGUGGUCCCACCUGGGCCUCACCUGGACCUGGUGACUGUGGUCCCCACCUGGGUCUCA
rnacentral:miRNA from 1 species